AGCUUUGCGCAGUGGCAGUAUCGUAGCCAAUGAGGUUUAUCUGAGGCGUGAUUAUUGCUAAUUGAAAAAACAUGGAGUGAGAGGAGUAAAAUUCUUUUCCUGAAUCAUCUCUAAAGGC
rnacentral:snRNA from 1 species